ensembl:lincRNA
GAAAAGGCACCUUUGAACAAUUCUCAAUAUUAAUUUAUCCCCAUAAUCCUAAUAUAUCUUUUUUCUUUCUUUUCAGUGUCUUCAGAUAGCAGAGGCAGUAUCAAGAUUUAACAUGUUACCUUUAUUCCUCUUGUCUCAGAGAUAUGGUCAAAGCCCCAAUGCCAAGAAACGGAAGAGUAGCUGCGGACGGCUAAUUUUAUCACCCUGUGGAGCAAGCCUUCUGCGAUUGUCAGAAUGAGGUCUAUACCAAGAGAGACAAAGAGGAGAGGAGAGAAAUGGCUGUGUUGUUUGAGGUCUGGCCCUAGGUCUGUGUGAUGUUAGCUCCUCCGCUAACUCCUUUUGCAUAUCAUAAAGGUUGACAUUUCCAUCAUUUGUAUCCUGACUGAUAGACUUGGAACAGAAAUAUUAGAAAACUCCCUCUUAUGAAAUAUUACUUCUUAAGCCUAAAAAUGCAGGUGAUUUUGGCAUGAUAAUAAAAAUAACUGCAAGUUAUAAAACAUCUACCAGGUGCUAAGCACGGCCAUAAAUACAUACUGUAUUCUGUUUUCUUUUCUAACUUUUUUUUUUUAAGCCUCUUUAUUCAUUUGAGAGAGAGAGGGAGAGAGUGAGCACACCAACAGGGGAGUGGUGAAGAGGGAGAUGGAGAAGUAAACUCCCCACUGGGGCUUGAUCCUGGGACCACGGACGAGAUCAUGACCUGAGCUGAAGGCAGACACUUCACUGACUGAGCUACUCAGAUGCCACUUUGUUUUAUUUUCAUUUAGUCUCCACAACAACCUUUAUAGUAUAUGAAUCAGUUACAGAACUUAGUGGGUUGAAACAAUUAGAAUUUAUUUAACCCAAGUUGGUGAUUUGGUUGGGUGAUUCUUCUUGUAUAGACCAGGCACAGUUGAUCUUAAGUGGGCUUGCUCAUGUGUCCACAAUAACUUGGCAGAUUUCUGGGGGCUGACUAAUUUGGGAUGAGUCACUCGUAGGUCUGGAGUUGGGUGGUUUUCUCAGCUGGGCCCCACAGGAGGGACUGGACAUUGUGUCUCCAGCAGGCUAGCCUGGGCUUAUGAACAUGGAUGUUGUAGGGAUCCAGGAGAGUGAGUGAAGGCAUGAAGUCUUCUCAAGGCUCAGGCUAGGCACUGGCAUUUUGCAACUUCUGCAUCCUGUGGAGUAAAGUACAAGGGAAGCCCUCAUUCAGGGAGUGAGGAAAUAGUGUCUACUUUUAUUGGGAGGACCUGAAAGUCAAAGGGAAUGGAUAUAAAGAAGCAUGAAAAAAUGGGAGUACAAUUAAUUUUCUAAAAAAGGUAUUAAGUGCAUAUACUUCAAAAGUUAAGAAAUUUAUUCAAGGUCAUAUGGCAAGGAGUAGCAGAGACAGGAUUUGAGCCUUAAUCUUCAGACUGAAAAUCUCACUCAGCAUUUUCUCUCUUCUUGCUGAUGGAUCUAUGUAGUCCAGUUGUCACAACUUAGUUCUGAAGUCCUAUUCUUAGAUCACUUUUGAAUGACUUCUCAGUUAUGAGGAAGAGUUUCUUUAUUAUAACAUAGGUAUAGACUUUCUGUAAUUGGUCAUUCUUGAGCCACACCUACAAGCAUUUUCAUUCAUAUUUAUACCCACAGUAAAAGGAAGUUCAUAUUUCUAUCUUGCACCGUGGCUGAGCUGUGAAAUGGCAGACAUUAUUUUGGGAGAAUAGAUAAAUAAUUUGUAGUAUCUAGUAAAUUCUUAAAUAAUACUUAGAGUAGUGAGGAAACAAUGAGUUCAGGCAAAUGAGAAGUUGGAAGAUAAUGAGAUGUGUAAAAUGGAUAGAAGACUGUCAACAAAUGGAAGAAAGGGACAGUAGAGUCUAAUCCUGUAGGAUUCUAGGGAGGGUAGAAGUGUAGUAGCUACCAUUUAAGUUGAGGAAUCUUAAAGCCUAGUGUGCAAGCUUCAUGAAUAGUCCAGAGACAGCCCUGUCCAUGGAUCCUUAAUAGGAUAGAACAUGGGGAAAGGAGACCAUGUACACAGAGCCUGUACUGCACUGAGAGACUCAGAUGCCCCACACUGUGCCUCUCCCAAAAUAGUUUAGCUUAAACCCUCCUUGCAUGCCUAGCUUAAAAGUCUGAGUGUUAUAAUUGUUCCUCUAGAACAGUCCUAAGAGUGUUGGUGGGAGGGGGUGGUCACAUAGGCAACUUUGUCUCAUGAAAUUCAAUGAUUAAAAUGCAUGAUGGCUGUGAAGCAAGGAAGUUCGGAAGAGCAUAGACAGAAACAGAUGGUGGGAAAUGAAAGGAGAUAACUGCCAGGAACUUUAAUCCUGCAGUUGAAGCAAGGACUUCUCUCAGAAGGUAACACUAGGUCGGGUGCCUGGGUGGCUCAGUCAGUUAAGCGUCUGACUCNNNNNNNNNNNNNNNNNNNNNNNNNNNNNNNNNNNNNNNNNNNNNNNNNNNN